AGUGGAAAGAAUAUUGAACAAAUAUUGAACGAUUGUACACAUUAUCAUUACAUUGAAAGUGCACCGCAAGUUGUGUUAGAAAAUUUCAUCUAGGAAAGUUCCCGUUACGAAAUCUCUAAUAAUAAACUAUCAUAUUUUAUUCAAAUUACUGGAUAAUAAUCAAUAAUUUGAAGUACAAUCCAAUGUGAAGUAAAACAAUUAUGAGAAUAAAGAAGAGAGUGAAUCCGAAAGUUUCAUUAUGUCAUAUAUAUAACAUUUAUAUAUGUAAUUAUCAGAUUAUAGAAAUAUUAUAACAUUUACAACAUAAUAAAUGUAAUUUAUGAUCAAUUCGUGAUUUUUUCUCAUCACGAGGCAAACGUCUCGUUGAAAUACAUAUAGCAUCAUAUAACAUUAGCACAUGUCAACUAAUCUUCAAAAUGAGAUAAUAAGAGUAAAACUCGUUACAGGAUUUAAUAUGGAUUUGGGAAAGUGCCAGAAGAGAGAGAGAGAGAGAUAUCCCACACGUUACUAAACUUUAUUCGCGUUAUAUUUACAGGACGGCUUGCGUACUUUCGUGGUCGAGAGAGUUGAUAUUUUAAUAGCAUUUGGCAAUUUAAUAACCACGCAGAAAUUUUCCCGCUGACGAAUGACACUUGUGCAUUAAGGCGUGACGAUGGCCUAAAAGCCCUAAAGUAUACUUUGCGGAGAUGACAGAUGAAUGCAAAAGUAGACGAAGAAAAAAAAGACCUCACGCACACACGAUGUAAUUUCGUUAAAUUUUUGUUUUUAUCAUUUCAACACUCAUCAAUUUGAACGAAUAAUUUUUUUUGUCUUCACUGCAAGUUUUUUUUCAAGAAAAUUUUCUGUUAUUUUAUCAAACAUUUCCAAUAUUUAACUUUUUUCAUAUAACAGAUAAUAUAAUUAAAGAUAAAAUAUUAAAUUUUACGUCAUCUCUAUUAUCGCGUAUAUUCAUAUGCUACACAUUGACGAUGGAUAUUUGACGAUGGAUUUCUUUUAUCGCUCAACUUUCUGUAAUACAUGCAGUUUCAUGUCUAACUUUGUCAACACUUAAAGUGCAAGUUUGAGUUGCGUUCGCGAAUUAAUUCGCACUCGAGUUCGCGAGCGUUUGUACGCUCGACGAAAGCACACAGCGACGAGCAUAUUAAAUGUUCAGAUGUAUUCGCAUAGAUAUGAGUAUCCGUUACGUAAGGGAGGUCUUAAUAUAGCGAAACACUCGCUGGAUCUUAGCCACACGGAUUUCGCACGCGGAUAUUCGAAUAGCACGUCCGUCGCGCGAGGGUGGAGGCGGAAAAAGCGCGCGCUGAGCUUUAUCGUUACUCGAUUUCAAAUCGCAUUAAAUCUCAGCGUACCGCGAAAACGAGAGAAUAUGUGGGCGAGAAUAGACAUUAGACUCUCGGGGCUUCAUUCCAGCUGUUUGGUAAUCCUAUCCGGCGAGAAAGAGGAAGACGGAGUGGAGCUCUUCUUGCUCCUUGCAUUAAAUUAAUUGCGGCUCUAUUUUUGGAAUAACCGCAUUCCAUUUGGAAUAACCAUUGAAGUGGAAAAUUUGUUCUGGAGAUUUUAAUAAAGAACGAAAAUUAAUUUGCUCACGGGAUUUACAUAGAGUGAGGAUUACUUUAUUCUCGAGAGAUUUAUGAAGCGCGAAGGUGAUGUAUGUAUUUUCCAGCACGUCUAGUGUAUGUAAAAUAAACGCGCUUUCUCCUUGAUACUCCUCCAGAAUUAAUUCUCCUCGUUCUUCAAAACUCCAGGGAGCGACGUUAAGCCUAAAAAUCUCGGUAGAAGAAUCGCGAGGCGAGUUCAAUUGAAUUCAGUAUUGCUGAAUGUCAGGAGUGAAAAAAAUGUAAUCUUGGAUCUUUAACGAGCGUUAUGAUCAUCGCGAAAGUCGGCGGAAUGCGAGGCGUUAAAAUGGCAACAAUUAGCGUUGAUGUGCGGCGAGACGGAGAGAUACGUACAAAAUAUCUUUCGCGAUUCUACAGUGUGUCCCCCGACACACGCGAUCCGUCACACGAUCAUUUCGCGUCAUUUACUAAACAAACAGACUGACAGACGCCUCUUCCUACUCGCAUAUUUUCGACCCGCUCGUAUGUGCCAAGAUCUCGUGUCGACUUGAUUAAGUCGCCGAAAUCACGCCAGGCAUCACUGCCGAUUAGUACACUUGCAAAAUAGUCAAGAUGCAACAGGUAUAUCAUUGUUCGAGACAUCGAGAGACGUUAUGUCAUUCGGACAGAUCCGCGACAUGUAUUUUAUUCGCAACAAUUAUUCUUACAUUAGCGAGAAUUUAUUUCAAAAGUUUGCGACGUCAAAAUUAAGUCCUUACAAACAUUUAAUACUGGCAGUAUGAAAUUGAAAAUUAAUUAUUUAUUUGGAGUAUUAAAAGCAAGUACUAACAAUAGUUGUUGUAAUCAUUGAAAUUGAGAACUCUGUAGUACUAUUAUUUUUUUAAUACAGCAGCUAUUACAGCAAAGUAUAAUAUUUCGUCUUAAUGUUAGCUGUCACUUGUCAAGAUACAGAUUUCAAUUUCUAAAGUUGAAGAAAUAUUCUCCAUUGGGAAACAAAUACAACAGCAAUAAAUAAAGUUUUAAAAUAAGAAAUCGUACAAGCGAUGAUGUGUAGCUUCGUGUAAAAACGAUCAAAUCACUCACAAUCGGGUCAUAGCAGAUCCUGAUUCAAUUCUCAAGUUUAAUUCUGACCGUCACCCCACAUAUAAUACAUCUUUUAGGGUUAUAUUAAGCUUGAGGAUGGAUUUAGAAAACGUGAAAGAAUGACUAUACUCUAAAAUAAGAGCAAAAUCCCACAAAGAAAGUUUAUAAAAUUAUAUCAUGAUUUGUUCAAAAGUUGUGUAAAAAAAAAA